rnacentral:rRNA from 1 species
GGAUGCGAUCAUAGCAGCACUAAUGCACCGGAUCCCAUCAGAACUCCGAAGUUAAGCGUGCUUGGGCGAGUGUAUUUCUCGGAUGGGUGACCCCCUGGGAAGUCCUCGCGUUGCAUCCC